CACGUAGGGUGCGAGCGUUGUCCGGAAUUAUUGGGCGUAAAGAGCUCGUAGGCGGUGUGUCGCGUCGGCCGUGAAAACCUGCAGCUUAACUGUGGGCGUGCGGUCGAUACGGGCAUCACUGGAGUUCGGCAGGGGAGACUGGAAUUCCUGGUGUAGCGGUGAAAUGCGCAGAUAUCAGGAGGAACACCGGUGGCGAAGGCGGCGACCUGGUCCGAUACUGACGCUGAGGCGCGAAAGCGUGGGGAGCAAACAGG
rnacentral:rRNA from 1 species